rnacentral:rRNA from 1 species
AGAGUUUGAUUAUGGCUCAGAAUGAACGUUGGCGGCGUGGAUUAGGCAUGCAAGUCGAACGGGCCGCAAGGCCAGUGGCGGAAGGGUGAGUAAUGCGAAGGUAACCAACCCCGCGGGUGGGCAUAGCCGGGGGAAACUCCGGGUAAUUCCCAGCGAUGUGCUUCGUUGGCAUCAACGGAUCACCAAAGAUUUAUCGCCGUGGGACGGGCCUUUGUGGUAUUAGCUUGUUGGCGGGGUGACGGCCCACCAAGGCUGCGAUGCCUACCGGACGUGCGAGCGUGGCCCGGCACACUGGGACCGAGACACUGCCCAGACUCCUACGGGAGGCUGCAGUCGAGAAUCUUCGGCAAUGGGCGCAAGCCUGACCGGGCGACGCCGCGUGGAGGAUGAAGGCCUUCGGGUUGUAAACUCCUGUCGAGGGGGAGGAAGGGGUAACCUUGACCGAUCCCUGGAGGAAGCACGGGCUAAGUUCGUGCCAGCAGCCGCGGUAAGACGAACCGUGCGAACGUUAUUCGGAAUCACUGGGCUUAAAGCGCGUGUAGGCGGGCCGCCACGUCAGUCGUUGAAAUCCCCCGGCUCAACCGGGGAACGGGCGCUGAUACGGGCGGCCUCGAGGGGGGUAGGGGGCACUGGAACUUCCGGUGGAGCGGUGAAAUGCGUUGAGAUCGGAAGGAACGCCCGUGGCGAAAGCGAGUGCCUGGACCCUUUCUGACGCUGAGACGCGAAAGCCAGGGGAGCGAACGGGAUUAGAUACCCCGGUAGUCCUGGCCGU